rnacentral:rRNA from 1 species
GACGAACGCUGGCGGCGUGCCUAAUACAUGCAAGUUGAGCGCUGAAGGUUGGUACUUGUACCAACUGGAUGAGCAGCGAACGGGUGAGUAACGCGUGGGGAAUCUGCCUUUGAGCGGGGGACAACAUUUGGAAACGAAUGCUAAUACCGCAUAAAAACUUUAAACACAAGUUUUAAGUUUGAAAGAUGCAAUUGCAUCACUCAAAGAUGAUCCCGCGUUGUAUUAGCUAGUUGGUGAGGUAAAGGCUCACCAAGGCGAUGAUACAUAGCCGACCUGAGAGGGUGAUCGGCCACAUUGGGACGGAGACACGGCCCAAACUCCUACGGGAGGCAGCAGUAGGGAAUCUUCGGCAAUGGACGAAAGUCUGACCGAGCAACGCCGCGUGAGUGAAGAAGGUUGUCGGAUCGUAAAACUCUGUUGGUAGAGAAGAACGUUGGUGAGAGUGGAAAGCUCAUCAAGUGACGGUAACUACCCAGAAAGGGACGGCUAACUACGUG